rnacentral:tRNA from 1 species
UCCCGGGUUGCUCUGCUGGCAUGGGCGACUAGAUUUUGGAUCUAGGUACUCGUAGGUUCGAUUCCUACCCCGGGAG